rnacentral:pre_miRNA from 1 species
AGGUUUUUGAAUCGGUGCACAGAUUUCGUCAGACAUCAACCCAUUAGGGCUGACCAGACUGCCAAGAUCAGUGAAGUU